CCUUUUAGAGCUUUCAAUGGUACAAACAUCCGGCUGCAGCAUACAUGCCACAGGUUUGCCACCACUGGUUUAAGCUGUUCCCAGGCACUGAAGGAGGAGUUUAACUGGAUAAUUGCAAGGUCCCUGCUCAUUUACAGCAUACUGGAAAGAGAAAUGAUUACAUAAGUAUUUGCUAAAUAAGGUGUUUGUGAAUAACAGAAGUUUCAAGAGUAUUCAGUUUAAGGAAAACAAAAAGCAGCACAUUAUUGCUUUGUUGGCAUAAGACACCUAAAAAAAUUCUUUAAAAUGAGACUAGAAGGCUUAUGAUGGCUUCCACCAAUCCUCAGAGUUCUUUGAUGGCAAGCCUCAGAGACUACAGAAUGUUAAACUACAUGAUGGAGAAAUUCUACUUCAGGCCAAGUUGGAGAAACAAGAGCUGGAUUUACUCUUCUAAAGCUACUAAAAAUUGAACAAAAUAAUUAAAGGAAUGCUUUACAAGAUACUAGAUAUCAGGUGUUAAAGGGACAUUGAUCCCUGAGAGAAAGAAAACAAAUGAUGUGGAACCUGUGAUUGAUUAAGUUUAUUGAGGGGGGAUCCUAAUUCAGGGACAGACUUGUGCCUAAUAUAGGUGACAGAUGCCCCAAAUUGAUGAACAAGAGCUGUGAAUUCAGGAACACCAGUAUGGCUCUAGUUUGUAAUGUGGAGUUCAAAAGAGGAAAGAGCUGCAGAGAGAACUUUAGAUAAGAACAGAGGCUCCUUCUCCAAGUAUUCCACAGAGAGCUGAUUACUAUACUACUGAAAUCCUUUGCAAGGCCUGGGAAGGGGUGUCCCAAAAGAUUAGAGGUAAGAGUACUCAGUGCACACUUAGGCCGUGCUCCCACCAGCCACCCUGCCGAAGUUUGUAAUUCACAGGACACUUGAGUACCCAGAAGGGUUUUGUCUUAAUAGUUGGUAAUAAUUAGCUCUAAACUAACCACUGUUCUGACUCUACUAAAUAAUAGAAAUAGCAUGACUCAAAUGAAUCAAAGUGCUGCCAAGUAACUUAACCCCAUCCUAGAAGAAAACCUAAGAACAUUGAGAAGAAGGCAAAGAUAUCAAGCAACAAAAAAGUGGGGACGGCCACAGUCGUUGCCUCCAUCUUCCCCUCCCUAGUAACAGAGGUCCGAAUGUGUAGCACGGAGCAAGGAGUCAAAGGGGAGCACCGCCCACGCGGAAUGCCGCCAG
rnacentral:lncRNA from 1 species